rnacentral:lncRNA from 9 species
CUCCGCUUUGGCAACCACAGGUUUCUGCUCAUGUCUGUAAGUCUGUUUCUGUUUUGUAGAUAGGUUCAUUUAUGCCAUAUAAACAUGUGUGUGUGUGUGUGUGUGUGUGUGUGUGUGUGUGUGUGUGUGUGUAUUUGCCCUUUUUUUUGAGAGCCACACCUGCAGCAUAUGGAAGUUCCCAGGCUAGGGGUUGAAUUGGAGCUGCAGCCGCUGGCCUACACCACAGCCACAGCAACUCAGGAUCUGAGCUGUAUCUGCAACCUACACCACAGCUCGUGGCAGCGCUGGGUCCUUUACCCACUGAGUGAGGCCAGGGAUUAAACCCACGUCCUCAUAUAUACUAGCUGGGUUCAUAACCCGCUGAGCCACAAUGAGAACUCCCCAUUUAUGCCAUAUUUUAGAUUCCACAUAAAAGUGAUGUCAUAUGGUAUUUGUCUUUCUCUUUCUGACCUACUUCACUUAGUAUGAGAAUCUCUAGUUGCAGAUGUGUUGGUGCAAAUGGAAUUACUUCAUUCUUUCUUAUUGAAGCAGACACUUCUGAUUUAUCAUCUUAAACAACGCUGCCCUCCUGCAGAUAUGCGUUUAGAACGUUUUUCCCUCUGGGGUCCUUUAAAAUGCAGCUCUCCAGACACCAUCCUCAGAGACUUCCAAAUUGGCAGGUCUGGGCAAGGUGCAGGAAUCUGCCCAAGAAUUUUUAAUUGUAGAAAGGUGUGCUUGCUCAAAGUCUAGUAAAUAAGCAUCGAUAUGAAAAACCGAGGUUGCCCAGCCUUUGCCCACAUCCCUGCAGCAAAUAUUUUACCUCUUUGAACUGAUCGUUUAGAUUUUUUUCUCUACAGCUUAAAAUGACAAGCUUGUAUGAUUUCUGCGUGAUUUUUCAGUUUUUAGAUUGCUUAUGGACUUUAUAUUGUGCGAAACAAGGAUUUAGUCUCCUCUCUUUCCCUUGCCCCUCACCACACAGAACCCUCUUCCCAUCCUCUGAGUACCAUUCUAUCCUAAUUUUGCCUGGGUCAACAUUCAGUAUUUACGUUGUCAUGACUGUGAAUGUGCUAAUCAUAACUGAACUGAGCUAUGACUAUUUUUCCUUUCCUGCACCAUUUUUUUUUUCUGGAGUUUGUUAUCACCUCUUUAGUUUGGUUGCUAGCAUCUCAGCUUCACUAAAUCCUUUACCACUGGUCCAUCACCGUUCCAGCCUCUAAGACUUUCUAGCCAUUGUCCUCUCUCCUGGAGAGAAAAAAAUAUCCCUUUACUAUAGUUCUAGCAGAUUUAGGGGAGGCUGAGAGUGGUUUUUUUUUUAAGCUUCACCCUUGUCACAUGGAAGUGCCUGGGCCAGGGAUUGAACCCACAUCACAGCAGUGGCAAUGCUGGAUCCUUAACUCUUAGGCCACCAGGGAACUCCUUGGGAGAAGGCUGUGAAAGUAACUAUAUUUUCUCCCAGUCUGUGGCUUGUCUUUUCACACUUUCUUAAUAGUGUCUUUGAAAGUGCAAAAGUUUUGAAUUUUAAAAAAAGCCAACUUAUCAAUUUUUUCUUUUAUCCUGUCCUAUUGCUGUGUAUGAAAAAAUAUAUAUAUAUAGUUUGUGUGUAUGUAUAUCUUCUAAGUGUGACAGACAGAGAUUGCAUUGGAUGUGGGGGAAAGAAAGGGAAGAAUCAAGGAUGAUUAAAAUGGGAGUUCCUUUUGUGGCUCAGUGCCUAACGAACCCGACUAGGGUCCAUAAGGACGCAGGUUCGAUCCCUGGCCUUGCUCAGUGGGUUAAGGAUCAGGUGUUGGCGUGAGUUGUGGUGUAGAUCGAAGACGCGGCUCGAAUCCCGCGUUGCUGUGUGUGGUGUAGGCUGACAGCUGUAGCUCUCAUUCAACCCCUAGCCUGGGAACUUCCAUACGCCUCGGGUGUGGCCCUAAAAAGAUGAAAGACAAAAAAAAAAAAAAAGAGUGAUUAAAAUGUAAAAUGUUUUUGGCUGAGCAAGUGGCAGGGUGAUGUUGCCAUCACCUGAGAUGGGGGAAGACUAUAGGAGCAGCAGGUUGAGGGGUCGGGGAACCUCUGUUUUGAACACACUGAGUGUGAAUUUGUCUGUUAGAAAUCCAUGGGGAUAUGCGGAGAGGCAGGUGGAAGCCGGAGCUUGGGGGCACAUUCAGCUCCUGGCUGAGAUGGCUGUGUGAGCCCAGAGAGAGGGGGCGGGGAACCAAGGCUGGGGACUGGACCUUGAGGGACACCUAGCAAGGACAUUCAGGAGUAGUAGCCAGGGAGGAAUCGUCCUCACCUUCAGCUUCCUUGUAUAACUAGGCAUUAGUAGUUAAUUGCCCUUCCCUCCCAGGGCGGGCGAGGCCUCUGGGCGAUGGCUGGCGGAGGCACAUCCCCGAGCCGGCAGGCUUGUGCAACAGGCUUGGCCCCGAAAGGGGAGGCCUUGGACAGCCUCAGGGACAGAGCCUGGCUGAAGACUGUGACUAAGGAGGGUGAGCAUUUCAAGUCCUUGUAAUUGUGCUCUUAAACGGAAAUGUGGCCUCAUUUUACACUCCUGAGCCCUAAAGCCCUCUCAGGGGCUUGGAGCCCAGGGAAGAGAUGCAGGUUUGCUGCAUUUUAGCCUCCAUAAUGGGGCUAAGGGUUGCAGGUCUGUAACUAACCAUGGGAAGUAGUGUCUGUCGGUAGCCCCCUGCCCUCCCAGGCACUCAACCAGCCACGCACCUGCCUCACCCUACUCCCGUCAAAGGGAAGAGAAAUGUCAGCAGAAAAGGACAGUCAUCUCUGCUCAAAUGGUGGCAUUUGGGAGCCUACAGUUAUCAGGGUGGGUGUUGUGCUUAUGGGGUGGAGAUGGCACAAGGGAACCUUUUCAAGUCUUUGCCUUCUGCCUGAGACUGGGUGAGUGCUGUGUCUGUUUCCUGUAAAACAAGUCCUCCCGGGAUAUUAAAUCCAGCUUGAGGAAGAUCUCUCUAUCCAUUAAAUUGGCUCAUUUAAUUCAACAAUGAGCCACAAGGCUUUCGGAGCUGUGAGUGGAGAGGGCGCCCAGUCCAAUGUGGGAGGCAGAGGAGGAAACCAAGUGUUUCAAAGCAGGGAUGUCAUAUGAUGCUGGGGCUCGAGUACUGAGGACUUUGCAGUUGGGAAGAAGGGAGCUGGACCAGUCAGGAGGGGACGGAGGGCUUCCUGGAGGAGGCGGCACGCGAGCUGGAUUGUGUGAAUGAAGAUGAACGGAGAGUAUUUUGAAGGUCAUCUGGCUUGUGAUUUGAUAGAUCCAGGGGCUAAGGCUCCAUUUCUGGUUAGUCUGUGAAUGUGGGGUUUAUCCCCACCAAUCACCCUAACUUCUCUGGAUUUAAACCCACAGAGCUACCAGCCAUAUUCGGGAGACACUGGGUUCAAGCAAGUGAAUAUAGGUCAAAGAACUCGGAAGGGUUCAAGGAUGAUGGGACAAGAGAAGUGCAAUCCAUUAUCAUUAUCAUUAAUUAUAUUCCAGGUGUGGGGAAGUAUCUCUUGGCAUUCAGAUCCUAGGAAUUGUGUGUGUGUGUGUGUGUGUGUGUGUGUGUGUGUGUGUGUGUGUGUGUGUGUGUGUGUGUCUUUUUAGGGCCGUACCUGUGGCAUAUGGAGGUUCCCAGGCUAGGGGUUGAAUCGGAGCUGCAGCUGCCGGCCUUCGCUAGAGCCACAGGAAUGUGGGAUCCGAGUCAUGUCUGCAGCCCACACCACAGCUCACAGCAAUCUGGAUCCUUAACCCACUGACCGAGACCAGGGAUCAAACCUGCAUUCUCAUGGAUACUAGUUGGGUUCCUUAACCACUGAGUCACGACUCCAAGAUCCUAGGAAUUUUUGAACCUGGAAUCAGACGUGUGCUGGAUGGAUCAUCUGGAAGCAGGCAGAACAGCAAGGACAUUGGAAAAAGUUUGGCUUCACGAAUUUAUCUUCAAGUAUGCAAUCAAAUAAUAUAGAAAAAGGCUGUUUUCAUUUUAGUAUACAUCCAGAUUUUAUAUUUUAUGAUUUUGAUGUUGAUUCAUGUUUGUGGGAAUGGGCGCCAUACUCUUUGCAAAGCUUUGACCCUGGAAAGGAUAGGGCAAUAUUUAAAAUUUCUAGUGACUUCCCAUUCCCCGCCAAACAACCUUCUAGAAACAGCUCAACCUCACUUCAGCUCCCUUUUAUAGGCUGUGAUCAUUGGGAAUCUUCUGAAGUUGGAAAACCGUAGCCUAGCUACGGCAAUGAUUGGUACUGUUACAGUGUCCUUAAGACGUGUGCCAGGCGCAGAGGUUGAGGGCUUUCUCUGCCGUGUCCCCUUAAUCCCGCUGACAGCCCUACCCGGGCAGUUUGCGCAGGAGAGCCUUGAGGCUCAGAAAGAUAAAGUGACUUGGUCAAGGUCACCUUGGGAAUGACGGCUAGAAAUGGAAUUUAAACCCGGUCUGCCUCAUUCCACAGCUCUGGCCCUUGACCAUUCCUCAUGCCGCCUCCUAGAGGCUGGAACCAGAGGGGGCAGAGAGAGGUUCUCAUUCGCAGUCUGCACUUGACAGCGUUCUGUGACAUUAACACGGGACUUGAUUUACUUCCAGAUCCAUGUGGCCAGAUUCUUUGCUCAGGUUCCUGUCACAUACACAUGUGAUAUAAUCUCCUUAAAAGGAAAAGAGAGUUCUUUCAAAAGAUCCAGGAGAAUAUUUAAGCAUCUAUCAAGAAAUGUAGUCUUGCAAAAGUGUUCCUAAAUUAUUGACUUUAUCUUGCUUUGUGGCAUUUGUAACAUUGUUUAGUGCCUAUUGUAUACCAUGCACUCACUGUUCUAGGUCCCAGGGACAUGGGAAUGGGCAAGGCUUUUGGAUAACAAAUGCCUGGGUAAACAAGGAGACAAAUCCCUAAACCAACCAGGGUGACAAAUAGGGAUAAAGUUGAUGAAAGAAGCAAACAGGGCAGCACAACACGGUGACACAGGCAGGGCCGCUCUGGAGAGUUGGGUCAGGGAAACCUCUCUGGGGAGGUGGCUGCUGAGCUGAGAGCUGAAGGUUAGAAGGCUCCAUGCAUCUGGUCAACCAGAGAGCACCACAAAGGCCACCGUCCACAUGGGGAGGAGGGAGAGGCUCUGGACUAGGCUCUGGAGCCAGCCGUGGAGAGGAUGAGGGACCAGCAAGACCAAGAAAGAGCAGCCUGAGGGGAGGAGGACAAGCAGACGUAUCAGGGGCCAGGAAGCCAAGAGAACUGUUUUAAGAAGGAGGGUGUGGCAACUGUGCUUGAGAGACUGUCUCUCAGAUUCAGGAACGUGGAGGCCCCCGGUGACCUCGAGAAGACGAAUUGCAGUGGAAAGCUUGUCAGGCUGUGCAGCGGAGACAAGAGCUGGACUAGUGGGUCAGAGGAACCGUGGGAAGCGAAGUCAGUGCUUCCAAGAAGCUCUGCUAUGGAGGUCGGCAGAGAAAUGGGGCAGAAGCUGAAAGGGCGUUUGGGGUGCCCAGAAGCUGUUCUGGCGGGUCUCCCAUCCAACAAUCCUUUCUCUGCCCACGUUCCGUGCUGGGCUGUGGGAGGGUGACCCUCUUACCGCAUCCCCUGCAUUCUCCUGUUAGAAUGUGCCCGGGUGGGUUCAGCCCAGGGGAGGCAAAGGCAGGAGAGCCAAAGGCUGGAAGAAAGGGAGGUGUCCCACCCCCACCCCCCGCCUCACUGCUUCCACACCUGGUCUCCAGGGAGGAGCUGUGACCUCUGGGCCCCCAAGUGCUUCCGGGCCACCCACCCCCGUGGCUCUCAGAACAUUAUUUCUUCCCCUGGCCUAUUCUGAGCAAGAAUUUGCCACCCCUCCUGAGCUGGGGCUUGUCUCUGGGUGCCCAGCAUCCUUGUUUUGUCCCUUAACUUUGUAAGUAGCCCUUCCUUUGAGGUUGGUUGCUUGAAUCAUCUGAGUGAAUUCUCUUUCCUGCUUGGACCCUAACUAACCAAUACAGGGUGUGCUUCCUCUGCCUGCUGGAGGGGAUAGAUCCAGACUCCAGGCAGAAGGCAGCUGGCCUUAGGCUGGUUGCAGGAGGAGAGGCAGGGAGCCCCGGCCCAGGGCAGGGGGGCUGGUAUUUGGUCUGAUGGCGUCUAGUUUCUUAAGGAAGGCUGAACCAAAUCCCUCAGCUGCAGAGUGCAGUGUAGUUUGUAGAGACAGAAGAACGUAUGGAACGGCCACCUCUGAGAAUAGGAAAAUGGACUUUCUAGGAAAGACUGGUAGGCCUGCCAGGCAUGGAGAGUGCCAAUUUGAGGUUUGUGGUCGUGAAUUUAAAGAGCAGCCGUGUGCUUUCCCCCAGCAUCCUUCAGCCGCUCUGGCACGGGCCUGGGGGCGGGUGCUCAGGAGGGCUGGGGCUUCGCCAGGUGUGGACAGAGAAGGGCCGUUUAUGGCGGGGUUACCUGGGGAGCCACAGUCACGUGGAACGUGGAGUCUGCACGGGGCAAGGAGGGAAAGGGGGCCAUGAGCGGUGAUAGUAGGAAAGGUGAUAAUGGACCUGGAUGGGGGACUUGAUGAAGCACAUAGGAGGAGAGGAAGCGGGGCCCUCAGCGGAAGACUUGAAGUGAUGGGGAGAUGGUACAAGAAACCGUAAGCUGGGGGAGCACAUGGUGGGCCCCGAUGGCUCAAGAGGGGCAAGGAUUUGGACAUGGAGGAGGAUAAAUGGUUUGGAUAAUACCGUAACUGGGGGCAAGGUGGGUACCCAUGUCACCUCUUGGCCUCCCCUAGACCAGUUUCGCCAUGCAUCUCCCUGAACAGUCCCCUCCUGCCAGGGGGCCUGAAAAGCCAAUGACAGCUUUGGGGUCUCAGUUUUAAGGCUGAGAAGGCCAUUUGUCAACUUGGCUCCUUCUUGCAACCUGAUCCAGAGCUGGUUCUGACCACGUUGCGCUUGGGGUGGUGAUGGAACUACAAGCUCGGGGCGGGGGGGGGUAAAACACUUGCCCAAGGUCGUAGAGAGUCUGUUUGAAUCCACAAAGGCUGACUCUCCAGGCAGGGACACAGGCAGAGAAAGAACCAAAGAAAAGUGAUGCUGCAGAACCCUCUGGGAAUAUGGAAGUUAGAAAGAUUUCUUCUGUUGUGGGAGGGGGAGGCAGGAGGCUAGAGCUAGAGCUGCAGGAUGAACAGAAAUGCGUGCGGAGGAGUUCCCGUCUUGGCUCAGUGGUAGUGACCCCAACUAGUAUCCAUGAGGAUGCAGGUUUGAUCCCUGGCCUCGCUCAGUGAGUUAAGGAUCUGGUGUUGCUGCGAGCUGUGGUGUAGGUCACAGACGAGGCUCAGAUCCUGUGUUGCUGAGGCUGUGAUGCAGGCCUGCAGCUGUAGCUCUGAUUGGACCCCUAGCCUGGGAACUUCCACAUGCCUUGGGUGUGGCCCUCAAAAGACAAAAGACAAAAAAUAAAAAUAAAAAAGAAAGAAAUGCACGUGGAAGUUCCCAUCGUGGUUCAGCGGUUAACGAACUCAGCUAGUAUCCAUGAGGAUGUGGGUUCGAUUCCUGGCCUUGUUCAGUGGGUAAAGGAUCCAGCAUUGCCAUGAGCUGUGGUGUAGGUCGCAGAUGUGGCUUGGAUUUGGCCUUGCUGUGGCUGUGAUGUAGGCCAGUGGCUACAGCCUCAACUGGACCCCUAGCCUGGGGAC